rnacentral:rRNA from 1 species
AAAAGAAACCAACCGGGAUUGCCUUAGUAACGGCGAGUGAAGCGGCAAAAGCUCAAAUUUGAAAUCUGGUACCUUCGGUGCCCGAGUUGUAAUUUGGAGAGGGCAACUUUGGGGCCGUUCCUUGUCUAUGUUCCUUGGAACAGGACGUCAUAGAGGGUGAGAAUCCCGUGUGGCGAGGAGUGCGGUUCUUUGUAAAGUGCCUUCGAAGAGUCGAGUUGUUUGGGAAUGCAGCUCUAAGUGGGUGGUAAAUUCCAUCUAAAGCUAAAUAUUGGCGAGAGACCGAUAGCGAACAAGUACAGUGAUGGAAAGAUGAAAAGAACUUUGAAAAGAGAGUGAAAAAGUACGUGAAAUUGUUGAAAGGGAAGGGCAUUUGAUCAGACAUGGUGUUUUGUGCCCUCUGCUCCUUGUGGGUAGGGGAAUCUCGCAUUUCACUGGGCCAGCAUCAGUUUUGGUGGCAGGAUAAAUCCAUAGGAAUGUAGCUUGCCUCGGUAAGUAUUAUAGCCUGUGGGAAUACUGCCAGCUGGGACUGAGGACUGCGACGU